GAUGAACGCUGGCGGCGUGCUUAACACAUGCAAGUCGAACGGAAAGACCCUGCUUUUGUGGGGUGCUCGAUUGGCGAAGGGGGGAGUAACACGUGAGUAACCUGCCCUUGACUUUGGGAUAACUUCAGGAAACUGGGGCUAAUAUAGGAUAGGAGCUCCUGCUGCGUGGUGGGGGUUGGAAAGUUUCGGCUGUUGGGGAUGGUCUCGCGGCUUAUCAGCUUGUUGGUGGGGUAGGGGCUUACCAAGUCUUAGACGGGUAGGCGGCCUGGGAGCGUGACCGGGCACAUUGGUCCUGCGGUACGCCGCAGUCGCCUACGUUCGGCAGCAGGCGGGAGCCUGGCACAGUGGGCCGACGCCUGAGGCAGCGGCGCCGCGUGCGUGAUGACGUCCUUCGGGUUGUGAACCGCUGUCGCCUGUGACGAAGCGGGAGUGACGGUAAUGGGUAAAGAAGCACCGGCUAACUACGUG
rnacentral:rRNA from 1 species